GACGAACGCUGGCGGCGUGCUUAACACAUGCAAGUCGAACGGUAAGGCCCUUCGGGGUACACGAGUGGCGAACGGGUGAGUAACACGUGGGUGAUCUGCCCUGCACUUCGGGAUAAGCCUGGGAAACUGGGUCUAAUACCGGAUAGGACCACUGCCUGCAUGGGUGGGGGUGGAAAGCUUUUGCGGUGUGGGAUGGGCCCGCGGCCUAGCAGCUUGUUGGUGGGGGGAUGGCCUACCAAGGCGACGACGGGUAGCCGGCCUGAGAGGGUGACCGGCCACACUGGGACUGAGAUACGGCCCAGACUCCUACGGGAGGCAGCAGUGGGGAAUAUUGCACAAUGGGCGCAAGCCUGAUGCAGCGACGCCGCGUGAGGGAUGACGGCCUUCGGGUUGUAAACCUCUUUCAGCACCGACGAAGCGCAAGUGACGGUAGGUGCAGAAGAAGGACCGGCCAACUACGUGCCAGCAGCCGCGGUAA
rnacentral:rRNA from 1 species